rnacentral:rRNA from 1 species
GACGAACGCUGGCGGCGUGCUUAACACAUGCAAGUCGAACGGAAAGGCCCUGCUUUUGUUGGGUGCUCGAUUGGCGAACGGGUGAGUAACACGUGAGUAACCUGCCCUUGACUUUGGGAUAACUUCAGGAAACUGGGGCUAAUACCGGAUAGGAGCUCCUGCUGCAUGGUGGGGGUUGGAAAGUGUCGGCGGUUGGGGAUGGACUCGCGGCUUAUCAGCUUGUUGGUGGGGUAGUGGCUUACCAAGGCUUUGACGGGUAGCCGGCCUGAGAGGGUGACCGGCCACAUUGGGACUGAGAUACGGCGCAGACUCCUACGGGAGGCAGCAGUGGGGAAUAUUGCACAAUGGGCGGAAGCCUGAUGCAGCAACGCCGCGUGCGGGAUGACGGCCUUCGGGUUGUAAACCGCUUUCGCCUGUGACGAAGCGUGAGUGACGGUAAUGGGUAAAGAAGCACCGGCUAACUACGUG